AUUGAACGCUGGCGGCAGGCUUAACACAUGCAAGUCGAGCGUGCGGCGGACGGGUGAGUAAUGUCGGGGAACCUGCCUGAAGGAGGGGGAUAACUACUGGAAACGGUAGCUACUACCGCAUACCAUCAGAUGUGCCCAGAUGGGAUUAGCUAGUAGGUGGGGUAAUGGCUCACAUAGCCGACGAUCCCUAGCUGGGCUGAGAGGAUGACCAGCAACACUGGACCGGAGACACGGUCCAGCCUCCUACGGGAGGAAGCGUAGGGGAAUAUUGCACAGUGGGCGCAAGCCGGAUGCAGCCAGGCGGCGUGUAUGAAGAGGUCCUUGGGGUUGUAAAGUACUUUCAGCGGGGAGGCGUUACCCGCAGAAGAAGCACCGGCUAACUCCGUGCCAGCAGCCGCGGUAAUUC
rnacentral:rRNA from 1 species